rnacentral:rRNA from 1 species
GACGAACGCUGGCGGCGUGCUUAACACAUGCAAGUCGAGCGAGGCCCCUCCUUCGGGAGGGUGUCCUAGCGGCGAACGGGUGAGUAACACGUGGGCAACCUGCCCUCAGCUCUGGGAUAACUCCGGGAAACCGGGGCUAAUACCGGAUACGACCUCCACGGGCAUCUGCGGAGGUGGAAAGUUUUUCGGCUGAGGAUGGGCCCGCGGCCUAUCAGCUAGUUGGUGGGGUAGUGGCCCACCAAGGCGACGACGGGUAGCCGGCCUGAGAGGGCGACCGGCCACACUGGGACUGAGAGACGGCCCAGACUCCUACGGGAGGCAGCAGUGGGGAAUAUUGCGCAAUGGGCGAAAGCCUGACGCAGCGACGCCGCGCGAGGGACGAAGGCCUUCGGGUUGUAAACCUCUUUCAGCAGGGACGAAGCGAAAGUGACGGUACCUGCAGAAGAAGCACCGGCCAACUACGUG